GAAAUAUGUGGUGGCAGUUUUUUUCUGAUUCAUUUUCACAUUACCCUUUUCAACACUGAUAAUAGCUAAUUACACGAAACUUUCUUAUAUUUUUCAGCUCAAUAAGGAUUGGAACAACAUUGACGGGGGGAAACACCCAAAGUCCAUCACUCAUGCACCGAGGAUCUGGCUGAUUACUGGAAAUUUGGAAGAUUGUUCUUUAUCUGCACUGUCACUUCUGGUAAAUAUUUAUGAAGAAGAAAUAUACUUUAUUAAUCCCCAAGGGCAAAUUAGUUCUCUGCAUUUAACCCAUCCUUAGUUAUUAAGGAGCAGUGGGCUGCAGUGAUGCGCCCAGGAAGCAACUGGGGGUUCAGUGCCUUGCUCAAGGACACUUCGACUUGCAACUAAUGGGGAGAGCGGGGAUCGAACCGACAACCUUGGGGUUGCAGGACGGCCCUCUUACCCCACUGAGCUACAGCCGCCCACAAUUAUGGACCUUUUGUGGUAUGUUUUGCUUUCACUUAUCAACUGAUAGUGAAUAAUUGGUUGAUUUUGAAAAUGUACAUUAAAUAAAAUGUUUUAAAAUCAA